UUGGGCUGCCAUGGAAACCGGAAGCAUGUAUUCAAGCCUUUGUUAAUAGGAAGGACAUUUUUCAUGCAGUCUUCCUCUUUCAGGCACGGAUAAUAGACUGUCAUGUAUACAGUAACAUUCAAGAUGGAACUGGAGAAGCAGGGAACAUAGAGUGAUGGGGAAGAAAAGAGGGAAUCCUGAGCAGAGAAAACUGGGAAAAGAACCAGAGGUUCUUCCCCAUGGCCACCAACUUCACCAAGAGUUGUCACAUAUGGUGUCUUUCACCACUAGAAAAGGUCUGGCUAAUUCCUUCAUUUUCAGUAACAAGAAUGCUGGGAAAGGUCUGAUUGGUCUACCUCUUGAACAAUCAAUCAGAGAAUGUAAGUGGAACGGCUAGAGCUACAGAGGCAUCUUGAUCUAUGAGAAAAAGGCCACAAGAAUCAUAGGGGCCUUACUCAGCGUUGUUAUCCCUGAGCUCCUGAAUCAGCGCCAGAAACCACCUGUAGAGUCCUAAUAAGAUAACUAGCUGAAACCACCUUGUUCCUCUUUAUCUGAUCUAAACUGUACUACCACUUCAAAAUGCAAAAGGGAGGGAAAUUUGAAAGAAAACUUGGAUCUCAGAAGUCUUGGUAGCUUCUAGAUUUGAGACAUUGCUUGCAGGUCAGUAUUGAUCCAAAACUUCUUGAUAAUUAAACCAUUAAGUGAAGCAUGGAACUAGUUAUGUAUUUUAUCUAGGUAAUGCUCAAUAAAUAAAUACAAAUUAUUCAAAAGAAAAGUAAGUUAUACAUCUGAUGAACUCUCAUACAUUAGUCAACCAUGCCCACAUUUCACUUUCUUUUUUCUUUCUUUCUUUCUUUCUUUCUUUCUUUCUUUCUUUCUUUCUUUCUUUCUUUCUUUUUUCUUUCUCUUCUUUCUUCUUUCUUUCUUUCUUUUCUUUCUUUCAUCUAUCUUUCUUUCUUUCUUUCAUUAUCUGGGUUUCUUGGUCAAUUAUUCAAUCAUCACAGUCAUUCAGUGCUCUGUUUGUGAGAUUUGGAGAACCAAUGCAGUGACAGACACAGACAGCUUCUAUGUGCCCAGGAGGAGAAUGGAGCUGAGCAAAUCCUGGAGAUUGACAUCUCCUCUUUGCAAGUUAUCUUGAAGCAUUUUUUCUACCAUGUUACUCAUCUGCUCCAAGGCUUUCAAAGGCUCUCUUCUGCCUGUGGAAGAAAGCCUAAACAUCUUGGAAUAGAAUUCAAAGCCUCCCUUAAUAUUUGGAGAGCAUUAGUGGCAUGCCAGCAGUUACAGAGCUACUAUAUGUUGAAAUCCAAAUACCCACCCAGGUGGGGUUGGAUCUGAAGCCUAAAUUCCUAAUUUCUACUCAUACAGCUCUUAAGCAGUCUAUGCUUCACCUAGAAAUGCUUAACAUAGGUAAGAUCCCCGCUGCUUAAAAUGGAAGGAACAGUGGAAAACAAUUAUGGUGUCUGUCCCUUCUCAACGUUAAUGGAGGACUCUGUAUGCCUUUACCUUCCAGGUGUUUGUGCACAUGCCACUGAGACCCAGGCGGUUAUAAUAAUAAUAAUGAUAUGCCUCAUUGCAUAAGCAGUGGAAAAAUUAGUAAAAAAAAAAUAAAUAAAUACAGGGCAUCAGGGCUCUAAAUCACUGGCUUAGAACAGCCCUGGUAGAAGGUUGUAUUUUCAGGAGUCAAAAAAUAAGUCCUAACUUCAAUAGAUCAAUUGUAGGUCUAACAAUGUUGCCUUUAUUUGCUGUCUGUCAACAACUGUGGAGAAGGUGGAAAUAACUCUAAUCAUCAGUUAUAUCUGACACAACCUCAAUCCUGUCUCUCAUCAAUGGGGGUCUGUGAUGAGAGGUGUGCUCCAGUGGUUUGGAAACAUUUUAAAGGAAAACUUAGACAUGUGGAGUAAUUUGAAAGAUUGGAGGGAGGGAGUUGUCUGGCUGCUCUAAGUGAAUUGGCAGGAAGGUUUGCGUGAAAGGUCCCAUUCAGGCUGACAGGCACAAGGGGCAGACUUUCUGAGACAUAAUGUGCUUCUGAUUGCUGGCUGACAAGGUAUUUUCUUUUCUGUCUUCUAAAAUAUGCAGGAUGUACCCAUGUUGUGAUUUACAACUGGGUUGGGUUUCAUCCACCUGUGAACCUCUGCAAGCUGCAUAGUGAGCUGCCAAUGAGAGGAAAGAUGCUCUGACAGACGCUUCGACACGUCACAAAAGUAAAAAAAAAGAGAAGUCCUACCCUGCUUUCUAGAUGAGAUGGUUAUUGAGAAAGCAAGAGAAUAUCAAGUAAUAGCUCAUUCAUCAGGCACCAAAACUAAACGAGAACUUCAAUAUAAAUAAAUUUUCCAGAUAAAUGAAGAAAAAGAGAUGCAAACUUUCUUGUUUUUUCUUUAGUAUAGUAUAAUGCGUAGCAUUUAACAUCUUGAAAAAUUGAUGAUAUUCUUGUUAGCCUCACUGACUGUGUUGUCCUAUGUGGAAAAGACACUGAAUCAUUUAUUUUGAUAUCAAUUAUUAAUUGAUUACUUCUUUUGUCCAGCCACUGGGCUAAUGCUGGAGGUCAAAUGGGGAAUAAGACUGGCAACCUCCAACCACAUGAGGGUUGCUAAGACAUAGAAAGCCAUACGCUUAAAUCCCAGUCACCUAAGCUCUUUAUGUUCCUACUUCUGUUUUUUUUCCACCAGUGUGAGUGUUUUAUUAAUGUCACUCAUUUAAAUAACAAAAAACCAAAGAACAACAAAUGGAAGAGAAAAAGGAAGGAAGGAAGGAAAGAGGACAGAAAAAAGAGAAAGAAGAAAGAAAGGAAGGGAAAGGAAAGGUAGGAAGGAAGGAAGAAAGAAAAGAAAGAAAGAAAGAAAGAAAGAAAGAAAGAAAGAAAGAAAGAAAGAAAGAAAGAAAGAAAGAAAAUAAAGAAAAGAGGCAAGUAUCUACCCUGUACCAAGCAUAAUAUUAGGCACUGGGGGGAUAAAACAGUAUAACAGCAAAGUCAGGUGAAUAUUUCCCAACCUCAAAGGGAGAGGUUUUAACUUAUUAAUCAUCUUUAAUUCUAUGUUCCCAGAAUCAUCAUUGCACAUAGAAUCAUUGCUAAAUAUAUGCCCAUUGGGUGACUGAUCUGUCCUUGAAUGAAUGAAUAUGUUCGGGUUGGGAAAAUGUAUUGCACAAGUUUGUUUGAAGUGUGUCAAAACCAGAGACAAAUGGUUUUAAAUUAUUUUCCCCAGAGAAUUUUUUUAACUUGAGAGUCUUCGAGAUAUUAGGUCUUAGCAUUCAUAUAACUGGUUCCAUUUGUCAUAUAGAGUAAGUAACUGAAGAAAUUGUUCUGUAUUAAUCCUAAGUUCCAUUUCUUCUACAGCUAUGAUAAACUGAAAAUGAGAAUUAAGGGCACGAUGAAAAUAUUUGAUUACUUUUUUAAGGAGAGGGGUAGUUAAGGAGUUAGCUGUAGGCCAGGCACAGUGGCUCAUGCCCGUAAUCCCAGCACUUUGAGAGUCUGAGGCGGGUGGAUUCUGAGGUCAGGAGUUCAAGACCAGCCUGAGACAGUGAAAUCCUGUCUCUACUGAAAAUACAAAAAUUAGCUGGGCGUGGUGGCAGGUGCCUGUAAUCCCAGCUACUCGGAAGGCUGAGGCAGGAGAACCACUUGAACCUGGGAGGCAGAGGUUGCAGUGAGCAGAGAUGGCACCAUUGCACUCCAGCCUGGGUGACAGAGUGGGACUCCAUCUCAAAAAAAAAAAGAAAAAAGUUAGCUGUAAAAAUAAAAUGGGGAAUAGAAAGUUUAAGAUAGUUUUAAUUUAUUGUCUCAUUUUCUGGUCACAGAAUUGGUGCAUUGUACUUUGAUAUCAAUAAAUAGGGUUGUUUAAUAUGUCUGGCAUAAAAGAGUACCUUAUCAGCUGGGCACAGUGGCUCAUACCUGUAAUCCCAACACUUUAGGAGGCCAAGGCAGGAGGAUCACUUGAGCCCAGGAGCUCAAGACAAGGGUGGGCAACAUAGGGAGACUCCAUUUCUACAAAACAUUUUUUAAAAAUUAGCCAGGUGUGGCAUAACCUGUGGUCCUAGCUACUAGAAAAGCUGGUGAGGUGGGAGGAUCAUUUGAGCCCAGGAGCUCGAGGCUGCAGUGAGCCAUGAUUGCAACACUGCACUCCAGCCUGGGCAGCAGAGCAAGACCAUGUUUCCCAGAAAAGAGUACCACAUAAGGGGAAUGUGCUACGAAGAAAGCAAAAUAAUGCUUAGGGCUAGUUAAUUUGUGGCCUACUGACACGCUUCUAAUAAGUGACUUUUUACAUAACGUCCUUCUUUGUUGAUAUUUGCAAAUAUAUCUUUAUUUCAUAACAUAUGUGCAUAUUUUAAUUGUCUUGACUAUUUGCUGAUUAAUCACAAGCAAGAUUAACUGAAUGUACAGAAUAUUAAUCCCCUAGAGCAAAUAAUAGCCCUGGUCAUUUAUUCUUACAUUUGGAAACAGAAUAAGAAUUUUGUUAUUCAUCAAAGAGGGACCCUAGUCAACAUUUCUGAUUGACUAAUUUGUUGAUGAUUCAGGUGGCCUCUAGUGAGUUCCGUUUCAUUUACUUCCUUAGUUAUUCUAUUAAGCAGUCAGUCUAUGAUGAUGCAAAGAUAGUCUUUUUAGCUCGGGACACUUUUCUUCAGUUGAAAGUAGCUUGUAUCUUUUCUUAAAAAAUUCCUAUUAAAAUAUUAGUUAUUGUUUAUUUUAAAAUGCAUAAAACGCUAUACUACUAAACAUUCCAAAUUUCCUUUGGGUGUCACUGCUCUAUUCUGAUAGAUUUCCACAGAAAAUUAUUAUAGUGGAGAAUUUUAGGAGGCUCCAUUUUAGAGCAUUCUAAUUGGCAAAGUGCUACUUAAAAGCUUUUACACUCUACAGCUGAUUGUCAGAAAGAUUCAUUUUGUGUUCACGGUGUCACACAUGGUGUUACAGUAGGUAGCUAGUCAGGCAUGAGCGGGGCAGGAGAGGGCUCCCCACACAACCCACCAAGAAAGUCAGGUGACCCUGUGCAGGUGGCUGUUAACUGUCUCUCUAAAAUAAUAAUUGGUCACAGCCAGCACCAGGGAAAGGCAGGCUCCCUAUAUAGAUAGGAAACACCUGAAACUGGUGAUUUGCAGCUUCCUGAUGAGAUCUCAGGAGUUGGGCGAGUGAGCUCACACAUGUACAUUAAGAGGCAAAAUGGCAAAGUUUAACCGGUAUAUGACCUUCAGAGGGCAUUCCACCAGAAAAGGGACAAAAGAUGCAGGACGUAGGACAGCGUGUAAAAACCGUAAGUCUGGGAUCAAACAGUGCACUUGAUCUCCAAGAUGUCCACAUGACCCUCUUCCAAGUGUACUUUACUUUCUUUUCAUUUCUGCUCUAAAGCUUUUUAAUAAACUUUCACUCCUACUCUAAAACUUGCCUCUAUCUCGUCUUCUGCCUUAUGCCCCUCAGUCAAAUUCUUUCUUCUGAGGAAGCAAAAUUGAGGCUGCUGCAGACCCGUAUGAAUUUGCCACCAGUAACUUGAAUAACUUCCACUGCUAACAGUAUCUCUGUAGGUAGACAUUUUUAUCACAUGCAUAUUUCUAGGGAAGAUGCUUGCUCUAUAUUGCAUAUCCCUCCCUACCUUAUGGGAAUCUUGGAAAUCAAAUGUUCUUUGCUGUGGUAGCUUGUGUUCAAAGGCCACCAUCAAGCCCUUCCUUUGCUGCACUGUAUGAUAUUCCCCCAUGCAGCGAAUGAGUCUACUCUUGCAUCCCCUUCAAUCUGUGCUGGCUUGGGAUUGUGUGGAACCACUGAAUAUGGUAAAAAGGAUUCUCUCUCAGUUCUCGAUCUAGUUGUUAAGAGGACUGGCACUUUCUUCUUGCCUUUUGUAGUACCAAGUUGCCAUGUAGGAAGACCUGGCUACUCUGCUGUCAAGAGAUGCUACAGAUAGGAGCGCUGAGAUAUGGGACAUUUGAGUGAUGAUCACCUGGGAUGUCUAGCCCAGUGCAGCCUUCAGAUGGCUUCAGCUUCAACCACCAUCUUGCUGCAACUGUUUGAGAGGCCCCCAGUGAGAACCACCCAGCAGAGCCCAAGUAGGUUUUUUGGGUGGUUUGCUCUGCAGCAAUAGGGCACUAGAACACAUGCUCUCUUAGUAAAAUACUGUGGUUGGACACAAGCAUGAAUGAUGGAGAACUGUGAGAGGAGAGAGAACUACAAAGCCGGAAAGAUCAGCAUGAGAAGAUCAAAACUCAAACCACAACAAACUCAUCUGGUGCCUAACAUGGUGGGUUUUUUCCAUAUUUUUUUUUCUUCUUGUAUAUCCAUGAACUUUCUUUCUCUUAAGAAUCAUUUCUUUAAUUAUAAACUAAUAGAAUAGCUCUGGAAACUAGAGAAGAGAAAAAUGUUUCUCCAUUAUCGCCUCAUCCUUACACGACUUCAUUCAGUUAGCUAUUUGGUAAUUUCUCAUCACAUUCUUUUUCCUCCAUCAUGUGCAUUAAGUUUCACUUCCUUAAAAUGAUAGUCGAAGGAAAAUCAAGUUUAGUGGUGCCUGAAACUUGUAUAACUUCAGGAGGAAAAAAAAAUUAUAUUAAAAUAAAAUUAAAAUAAUCUUAGUUUAAAAAUUUAUACAAAAGCCUAUAACCAUAUGAAACACAGUUACAGCUUCCAUAAGGGCCUUUGAAGGGCUUUGGUAAGUGAGAGAUCCUGCAACUCAAGUUUCACCAGCAUCAUGGUAAAACUACCUUUGACCAUAAUAAUGUAUAUAUGAAACAGCAUCCUGUUAUUUUCUCUUUUAUUGUAUCAAAAUAAUUUUUCGUGUUGAAGCUUAGCCUUUAUAAUAUGAGCUUUAAAGACUGCACAUUCUUUUGUUGAGUCAGUACACUCUAAUUACACUAAUGUACAGUUUAUGAACCUUGGAGCUAUUCACAUUUUGGGCUGGAUAACUCUGUUGUAGGGGCACUGUCCUUUGCCAAAUGUCCCCUGGGGGGCAAAAUUGAGAGCAACUACCUUAAUCAGUCCUCUAUCCUGGUUACUUAUAUUAUUUCCUUUUUCAUGAUUAUAAUUGAAACAUUUUCAUGCAUGUGAGUUUAUUCAAUUUUUUAACUUCUUUCCCUUAGAAAUGGAACUAUGUUAAAGGGAAUGGCAUUGACAUGGCUUUUAAUGUAUACUCCUAAAUUUUCCUUCCCAAAAGCCUUAUAGUUUCCUGAAAUAUAGGACAACACAUUUUACUACAGAUGUAGAUAUGUUUAAUAUAUAAUAAUUGCAUAUUCUAACUAAUUACAACAAAAUAGUAUAUGUUAACUAUAUAUUGCACUGAAGAUACCGUACUUAAAACAGUUUUCUUUUUUCUUUUUUUUGCCCAUAAACUCUAUUUUCUGAAAAACCUAUACUCUAAUAGAAUGGUCAGCUAAGGAAUUCCAAAUUGACUCUAUCUUUUUUUUUUUUUUUUUUACUUGAAAACUCUAAAAAUUAUAUUUUGGAAAAGAAUUGCUCUAUUUCCACCAACCAGGAGAAGGAACUUGAAGAUAUCUUUCUAGACUGUUGUUUUUCUUACCAUCUGCACGCUUGAGCCCUUCUCAGGGAAAGUCUAUAUUUAAAUUCAGAAAGCAAGCAGUAAAAUUGUUUCAACAUGAUGCAUUUGCUGAUAUAAGGAAACUGUAGGCUUCCUGCUCCCCAUGGUGGUUAAGGAGCAGGGAUGAAGACACACCCAGCUUCCCAGCCUGUGUCUACACCUGUCAGGAUGGAUAACUAACUGCUCCCUCACUUUUCCCCUGUCCAUCACUGCAAAAGCUCCAUUAUUCUCCCUUCCUCACUUCCAAAGAGAAAUGCAGAUCUCAGUUGCUUUGUAUCAGGAAUAGAAUCAAGAAAAAUGACUUUUUGCGCUGUCUGAUGCCUGCUGACAACAUCCCAGCUCUCUGAGGGGAAACUCUGGAUCCUCUCGCCCAGAUGGCUGGAAGCAAAGCCCCUGUUGUUUCACUCCAGUUCCACAAGGUAGGGCGGAGAUCUCUCAGCAGGGACUCCAACAGCCUUUGCCCUUAAGGGGCCCAUAAGCCCCUCCUACAGAACUGCCUUCCUCACUCCACUCCAAUUUUAGGGAGUGACUGCCAAGGCUCUAAACCAUGAGGACAGGCUUUGUAGCGGCGGGAGGAAUUGACAUAGUAACAGGCUGUCAAAGAAGUAAAUAUAAUGGUUUCAUUAAAAGUCUGUCACAAGGGCCAGGGGUGCAGUGGCUCCUGCCUGUAAGUCCAGCACUUUGGGAGGCUGAGGCGGGAGGACUGCUUGAAGCCAGAAUAGCCGGGCAUAGCAGCGCCUGUACCUGUGGUCCCAGCUGCUGGGGAGGCUAGGAGAGUUCCUGGAGCCCAGGAGUUCAAGGCUGCCCUGAGCUGUGAUUGCACCACUGCACUGCAGCAUGGAUGACAGAGUGAGAUCCUGUCUCAAAAACAAAGUCUGUCACAGAAGGAAUAUUCCACGAUCAUUCACAUUCAUCUCAAAGAUGAUUUUAAAAGUGCAUUUCCUUCUUUCAUUCAUCCGUCUCUACCUCUCCUUCCAUCUGCCUUCCUGCCUCUUUUCCUUUCCAGGUCUCUUUCUUCUUCCUCCCUCUCACUGGCCCAUUUCUUCUCCUUCCUCCCAAGUGUUUUUAUCGAAGUUCAUGAAAAUGGAAGUGUAACCGGGAUUGUCUUUUAAUCUUAAUAUAUUCCCCUCCAUACUCUCAAAUUCCACAGAUGGCUUUAUGGUUUUGCUCUAUUUCUGUUUAAUGUGAAUCUUCAGAAUCAGUUAAUAGAAAUCUACCAUAUUUAGCUCCUGGAAAUGUCCUUAAUGAAAGCUGACAAACAAAUGGAGUGCUUAUGACAGGGAAAUGGAAAGUGAACACAGGAACUCCCUUGCAACUCCCUGGGAAGUCUGGGGAGGUUGGUGUGAAAUGCAGGCCAGGUGGCGUAACCCAUAGGUGUGGAAGAGAUUGCUUCCCCAGCAGCUGCCUAGCAACCAAAAUGUGUACCCGACAUGGCUUUUAAUGGGCAAGGUGAUGCAGUGCCUAGGUACUUAGUAAAUGAUAAAACAGCUUUCUUGCUGAAGGAUCUGACAUUGCCCAAAAGCUCAGAAGAAUCUAAUAGGCUCCCAGUUUAAAUGCUCAUUUUGUUUUAUUUAAAUAGAAAUACUCCAAAAGGUAGGCAAUGUAGAAUUGAUUGUAAAAUAUAUUAGACUGGCAAAUAAGACACUAAUUUUAGACUAAGGUAGGAAACAAAAUACCAAUGCCCUGAAGAAGGUAAUAGGCCCCUCUAAACCCCAAUUUAACCAUUACUUAAGCUUUGGGUAUUAGGCUAAACAGAGCCCAGUAGAUCAGAUUUUAGCAUUAAACUCACUAUCAUUUUUACAUUGCUGUAUACGUGAAUUUCCAUUUCUAGUUUUUUAUGUAAUCAAAAGAAAUUAAACCAAAUUUAUGAAAUAAAAUUAUUUAUGCUUGAAAAAAAUUCAUGAGUCUUAAACUUUUGGAUGAAUGGAAACAAUUUUGUUUCUGAUAUAUAACAUCAUCACAACUUUUUCAAGAUAUGUGUGCAUAUAUAUACAUAUAUAUAUGUACAUUUUUUUUUUUUUUUUUUUUUGAGACAGAGUCUCGCUCUGUCACCCAGGCUGGAGUGCAGUGGCACAAUCUCGGCUCACUGCAAGCUCCGCCUCCCGGGUUCACGCCAUUCUCCUGCCUCAGCCUCUCCCAGUAGCUGGGACUACAGGCGCCCACCACCACGCCCGG